rnacentral:rRNA from 1 species
CUUGUGGAAACACGAGAGUGCCUCGCAAGAGGAGCCUGGAGACAGGUGCUGCAUGGCUGUCGUCAGCUCGUGUCGUGAGAUGUUCGGGUUAAGUCCCGCAACGAGCGCAACCCCUAUCUUUAGUUGCCAUCAUUGAGUUGGGCACUCUAAAGAGACUGCCGGUGUCAAACCGGAGGAAGGUGGGGAUGACGUCAAGUCCUCAUGGCCUUUAUGACCAGGGCUACACACGUACUACAAUGGCCGGUACAAAGGGCAGCGACACAGCGAUGUGAAGCGAAUCCCGAAAAGCCGGUCUCAGUCCGGAUUGGAGUCUGCAACUCGACUCCAUGAAGUUGGAAUCGCUAGUAAUCGCGGAUCAGCACGCCGCGGUGAAUACGUUCCCGGGCCUU